UAGGUGGACUUAGGACAUAGGCCCUGGGA
rnacentral:piRNA from 2 species